UACGAAGGGGGCUAGCGUUGCUCGGAAUCACUGGGCGUAAAGCGCACGUAGGCGGCUUUCUAAGUCAGGGGUGAAAUCCUGGAGCUCAACUCCAGAACUGCCUUUGAUACUGAGAGCUUGAGUCCGGAAGGGGUGAGUGGAAUUCCCAGUGUAGAGGUGAAAUUCGUAGAUAUUGGGAAGAACACCGGUGGCGAAGGCGGCGAGCUGGUCCAUUACUGACGCUGAGGCGCGACAGCGGUGGGGAGCAAACAGG
rnacentral:rRNA from 1 species